rnacentral:ncRNA from 1 species
UGAAAUCCUGUGAGCAAAAGUAAGUAGCUGUAUGAGGUAGUUUCAGAGAGCUGUCGGUCGGUGUGAGACAGUACGAGGGCAUGCAGUGAAUGGAUUUGUGAGGAGCGGAGCGAAAGUUUUACGAGUAUCUCCCGCCGUGUUCCCUACGUUAGUGUGGAGGGGUAUUGAUCUUGACGGCUUAUGCCUGAUAGUGCGUACCUUACUGAGCCGACUUUUAUGUCGGGAAAAUGGGUGGCACCACGGUUCUAUCGUCCCAUGA